CUCGUGCUAUACUACUGUCUAAAAAACCGUGUCCUGUUAGGACUCUCUCUCCAUUGCAGACAAAACCAAUUCCCAGUACAUACAUAUGCAUCUCUAAAAGACACUGCUGCCAGACGCAUCAAACUCCACACAAGAAUCACAGAGUUAUACACACAUACAUACACAAUGUCUAAUCGCUACACACACAACAAAAACGAAGGCUCAAGAGGCGCAUUCAAUCCUAGAAAACAACAAUUCGUCCCCAAAAACCCUAAUUCAUCAGCACAAAAACUCUCCGAUUCUCUCCGUCACUCCGAUUCCAGCGCCGUCGCAUCGUCUGCGACCGCCGGAAACAGGCUCACACGGAAAGACGACGCUUCGGUGCCUAAUUAGACGUGGAGUGGCAAUUUUGUAAAAUAUUUGCCACAUGAUGAGGCGGUUGCUUCUGGAUCGGAUUGGCUGCUGAUGUGGAUUGGAUCCUAUUGAGUCGCAACGUGUUGUCGAUUUGCUUAAUCGAGAAUUGUCGCGUUUGCUGAAAUUGAAUCCUCGGGAAUUCUGGAAAGAAUUGGCAGGUGAUACAUCCUUGCACGAUUUUCUAGAAAGUUUCCUGAAAUCUAGAACUAGAUGGUAUGAUUUUCCAUAUCGCGGAGCUAGAGGAAUUGUUGCAGGAACUAUUGUUGGGGAGUAUGAAUUAAGUAGGCGUGUCUAUAUGGUACUAUAUCGAAUAUCUUCCAGUCGAGAUCCAGGAGCUAAGGCUGGGGAUAGUCUUAGUCCAAAAGAUCAUGCAGUUUUCUUUAUUGAUUUUUUUAUUUUGAGGCUGACUAUAUGCACUUGGAUAAGCCAACAUAGAAAGGAACAUUUGAUGCAGAAGAGAAAGCGGUGAAGCUUAGGAGUGAACUCGUGGGCAAUGCUGCUAAGGUGAAGGAUAUUACUCGGACUUUUAAGCUGGUUGAUGGAGAACUCACCUAUGAAGUUGAAAUGGCAACUGGAUCUGUAAGCCUUCAGCCACACUUAAAAGCCUCACUGAAGAAGCUGUGAAAUAAAAUCAGUUACUUGGCAAGUAUAAAAAUUGUUAAGUUGCUUAUGCGGCUCUAUCCAGUUUCAAGUUUUCCUUUUGCGGCUUCUUUUUCUGCAAAUGUUUUCCUAGCAAGUUGUGUUUCGAGCUGUUAACUGACUGGGUGGCAUCACCGAAACUUAUGCAUCACAGUAACAUUUGCCUAAAAGUUAUGUGGUAUUUGGGAAUUAGCAUAUCACAAUUCUUGAUGUUUCGAGUUAAAAAAUUCGUAGCUGGCAUUUAGUGCGUCGUCGCUGUGACUCUUGUAACACUAUACUUGGGUAUAUUUGUCAAUCCUUGCUCUAAUGCUCUCAUAACGUGGGAACAUCCUAUCUGGCUUAUUUAUUCUACAUAUCUCGUUUGUCUUAAUAAUAUCUUUGAUGAAUUUCAAUCCAUUUCACCCACUUAUACGCUGCCCUGUAGUUGUAAUCUCCUGUUCAGGACUCUCUCUCCCAAUAGAGAUUGCAGACAAAACCAAUUUUGGGUCAUCUAUAUAUCUAUAUACAACACAUAUGCACAAGUCGAGCUUGCCGCUUAAAGUGAGUUGAUCGAAAUCUGAAAAUGGCGAGCGGCGGCAUAGCUAGAGAACUCACUUCCAAAGAGGCCGACAUUCAGAAGAUGUUGGCGGCUGAGGUGCAUCUCGGUGCCAAAAAUUGUGACUUUCAAAUGGAACGUUAUGUCUUCAAGCGCCGCAACGAUGGUAUUUAUAUUAUCAAUUUGGGCAAGACAUGGGAGAAGCUUCAGAUGGCAGCCAGAGUCAGUGUUGCCAUGGAGAACCCCCAGGACAUUAUUGUCCAGUCUGCCAGGCCCUAUGGUUAGAGAGCGGUGUUGAAAUUUGCUUAGUACACGGGUGCCAAUGCUAUUGCUGGCCGUCACACUCCCGGUACUUUUACUAAUCAGUUGCAGACGUUGUUUAGUGACCCCGUCUCCUCAUUUUGACCGAUUCAAGAACUGAUCACCAGGUGCAGAGUCCCUUAUUCAUUCGUCAUCACAACAUGGCAAUGGUGGAUGAGGUCGUGUCGUAUCAAAACAUGACAAGCCUUAACAGUACAAAGACGGACCGGAAGAUUUUGAUUCGUGUAACCAGACUGUGGUUGUCUAUAUCUGUUGAAGAUGAAUCUUUUGAUUUUCUUGAUUCAAGGUGCUAACAUUGAACCUGAGAAGAGAAUGCUGGCUAGAUCUUUAGGACUAUAGUCCAGCAAAAUUGUUUUUUGGUUCUAGAACAGGAGGGUUUGGUUGAAGACUAAGCAAUUACAGGGAGACUAUAAUAUUCUCACAAGAACAUAUAUAUUUUGAAU